rnacentral:rRNA from 1 species
AAAUUGAAGAGUUUGAUCAUGGCUCAGAUUGAACGCUGGCGGCAGGCCUAACACAUGCAAGUCGAGCGGUAGCACAGAGAGCUUGCUCUCGGGUGACGAGCGGCGGACGGGUGAGUAAUGUCUGGGAAACUGCCUGAUGGAGGGGGAUAACUACUGGAAACGGUAGCUAAUACCGCAUAACGUCGCAAGACCAAAGUGGGGGACCUUCGGGCCUCAUGCCAUCAGAUGUGCCCAGAUGGGAUUAGCUAGUAGGUGGGGUAACGGCUCACCUAGGCGACGAUCCCUAGCUGGUCUGAGAGGAUGACCAGCCACACUGGAACUGAGACACGGUCCAGACUCCUACGGGAGGCAGCAGUGGGGAAUAUUGCACAAUGGGCGCAAGCCUGAUGCAGCCAUGCCGCGUGUGUGAAGAAGGCCUUCGGGUUGUAAAGCACUUUCAGCGGGGAGGAAGGCGUUAAGGUUAAUAACCUUGGCGAUUGACGUUACCCGCAGAAGAAGCACCGGCUAACUCCGUGCCAGCAGCCGCGGUAAUACGGAGGGUGCAAGCGUUAAUCGGAAUUACUGGGCGUAAAGCGCACGCAGGCGGUCUGUCAAGUCGGAUGUGAAAUCCCCGGGCUCAACCUGGGAACUGCAUUCGAAACUGGCAGGCUAGAGUCUUGUAGAGGGGGUAGAAUUCCAGGUGUAGCGGUGAAAUGCGUAGAGAUCUGGAGGAAUACCGGUGGCGAAGGCGGCCCCCUGGACAAAGACUGACGCUCAGGUGCGAAAGCGUGGGGAGCAAACAGGAUUAGAUACCCUGGUAGUCCACGCCGUAAACGAUGUCGAUUUGGAGGUUGUGCCCUUGAGGCGUGGCUUCCGGAGCUAACGCGUUAAAUCGACCGCCUGGGGAGUACGGCCGCAAGGUUAAAACUCAAAUGAAUUGACGGGGGCCCGCACAAGCGGUGGAGCAUGUGGUUUAAUUCGAUGCAACGCGAAGAACCUUACCUGGUCUUGACAUCCACAGAACUUUCCAGAGAUGGGUUGGUGCCUUCGGGAACUGUGAGACAGGUGCUGCAUGGCUGUCGUCAGCUCGUGUUGUGAAAUGUUGGGUUAAGUCCCGCAACGAGCGCAACCCUUAUCCUUUGUUGCCAGCGGUUAGGCCGGGAACUCAAAGGAGACUGCCAGUGAUAAACUGGAGGAAGGUGGGGAUGACGUCAAGUCAUCAUGGCCCUUACGACCAGGGCUACACACGUGCUACAAUGGCAUAUACAAAGAGAAGCGACCUCGCGAGAGCAAGCGGACCUCAUAAAGUAUGUCGUAGUCCGGAUUGGAGUCUGCAACUCGACUCCAUGAAGUCGGAAUCGCUAGUAAUCGUAGAUCAGAAUGCUACGGUGAAUACGUUCCCGGGCCUUGUACACACCGCCCGUCACACCAUGGGAGUGGGUUGCAAAAGAAGUAGGUAGCUUAACCUUCGGGAGGGCGCUUACCACUUUGUGAUUCAUGACUGGGGUGAAGUCGUAACAAGGUAACCGUAGGGGAACCUGCGGUUGGAUCACCUCCUUA